GUGUAUAUGUGCAGAUCUGGGAAGAUGCAGGUCGGUGUAUAUGUGCAGAUCUGGGAAGAUGCAGGUCGGUGUAUAUGUGCAGAUCUGGGAAGAUGCAGGUCGGUGUAUAUGUGCAGAUCUGGGAAGAUGCAGGUCGGUGUAUAUGCGCAGAUCUGGGAAGAUGCAGGUCGGUGUAAGUGUAUUCAGAUUGCUGCGGCAGGGUGUGCCCAGAUGCUGAA